CACGAACGAAGCUUAAAGUCUCACCAAAAAAACAGAUGCAAACGGAUGCCAUUCAAAGCUGACAUAAGCAACAGAGUUGCAUCGAAAGUUAAAUCCACGAAGGCAAAACGAAUACACAAAUGCAAUAAAUGCAAAAAGACAUACUAUACUAAAGGUGGCUUAACGCGGCACGUUAAAUAUGGUUGCGAGGGGACGAAAAAGCCUGCGUUUAUAUGUGAACAUUGUAAUCACGGUACAAUGCGUAAGUCCACAAUAGAGCGGCACAUAUGGAAGAAUCACGCUUAGGAUCGAAAAAGGUGUAAAA